rnacentral:rRNA from 1 species
AUUGAACGCUGGCGGCAGGCCUAACACAUGCAAGUCGAACGAGUGGCGGACGGGAGAGUGAUGUCUGGGAAAGUGCCUGAUGGAGGGGGAUAACGAAUGGAAACGGUAGCUAAUACCGCAUACGAUCGGAUGGGCUCUGGUGGGAUUAGCUAGUAGGUGGGGUAAAGGCUCACCUAGGCGACGAUCCCUAGCUGGUCUGAGAGGAUGACCAGCCACACUGGAACUGAGACACGGUCCAGACUCCUACGGGAGGCAGCAGUGGGGAAUAUUGGACAAUGGGCGCAAGCCUGAUGCAGCCAUGCCGCGUGGGUGAAGAAGGUCUUCGGGUUGUAAAGUACUUUCAUCGGGGAAGCGUUACCCGAAGAAGAAGCAACGGCUAACUCCGUGCCAGCAGCCGCGGUAAUUC